CCACCCAUUUUAUAAAAAUUUCGAUUCCAAUGGGUCCAAACUAUUCUUUUAUCAGAAUAUAGUCCAUUUAUAAGAAUAUUUAAUUAUUAACUUCCUUUCAACUCAUUUGACAAUACAGGUGAUCAGCCACAUAAAGUCCUCCGUCCCGAGCACUGAACAUAAGUCCCAUCGGCAACGGAUCGUCCCAAGCACCGGAUAUAAGUCCCAUUGGUGACGAAUAUUGUGGUACCCAUUAGGCAUCUAAUUGGCCUUCGACUGGGCUAGGUUCGCUAGCCUCUUACGCCACACUAUUAUGGAACUUUCAACUCCAUCUCCUUAAAUUGUCCAUUUAUUUAGACGCUAUUUUCAUAAUAAUGUUUAUUUAGAAAGGAAAUGAACUUCCACAGUUCCCAAGACAAUAUAUUCAUGUCCCGGGCCACGGACGUAAAGUCCUCCCGGUGACAACAUCGGUGCCCCGGGCCCCGGACGUAUAGUCCUCCCGGUGACAACAUAGGUGCCCCGGGCCCCGGACAUAAAGUCCUCCCGGUGACAAUAAUUGGUGUCCCGAGCCCCGGACAUAAAGUCCUCCCGGUGACAAUAAUUUGUGUACACAAUAGGCAUCUUGCUGGCCUUUCUGGUUGGCUAUUCACUAGCCCCCGGCUAUUCACUAGCCCCUCACAAUAUAUAUAAUAUAUCCUAAAACUCUUCUUUUCUUAUUUCAAAUCACCACCAUGUAACUCAAUGUAACCAAGUAGCUAUCUCAGCUAUCAAGAACAAGAUAUAUUUCUAGCAAUGUUGUCAACUGUAGAUAUAACAAUCGAGAUAUUUAACUUAUCUUUAAUCACACGAGAAAGAUAACAAUGCUUGCCCUUUCAAUAUAAAUGCAGAAUAGAAUUACUAGCAGUAAUUACAAGUUAAGAAUAGAAAUACUUGCUAACUGCAAGAGAAAGAUAGAUAGAAGUACUUGCCUUAAAUCCUGCUUCUCGGAUUUCUAUUAAUACUAUCUACUGACAAUUGUUCCCUUCUGCUUAGUUUCUGACAGAUUUUAGUAGAAUAUCCAUAGCACAGCUUCACUUUAUGGGUGUAUGUAAGCCUCGCACUGCAACACUAUUCAACUACUCCUAAACCUCUCGGUCGACUCUGUACAGCAGUAAGACAAUACUUCAAUCGUCGGAUCAGACGAAACUAAGUACUUCCAAAUACUAUUUAAAUCCGCAACUAACUACCCUUCGCAUAUCCACAUAUAACAAACGUGAAUAUAUAUAGAUAUCGAUAUAACAAUAUAUACAAGUUGGAUCAGUCUGACAAUUAACAACAUUAGCAUGAAACAAUUAAUAUAUAUUCCACUCCUACUAUAAUAUAAUGUUGUUAAUCGUCAAAUAUUCAUUAAUAAAUAAACUAUUUAAUUUCUAACAAAAAUUCGACAGCAUCUACUCUGUUUAUUGGACUAUCCACCUGUUUUAAAUUAAUACCAACAACCAACUAACCAACUCCUAAAUCAAAUACAUUUACAAUUACUGACUAGCUCCAACUAAUACACAAUUAUAAUCCAACAAUUCACAUAUCUCAAUUUAAACAUUUAUUGAAAUCUAAUUCUAGAUGCAAAUCCUUAAAACAAUGCAUAUAAUAAACUCGUAAUGUCACACCAUAUCAUUUAUUGACAAUAAAUCCAAUUUAAUAAAUUAAUAAACAAAACACAAUCUCAUUUGAUUAUUAUAUAUUAGAUAGUUUAUUGAAUACGUAUAUUAACGCAACAAACAUAUGCCUACUCCCGACACAUAAACUAACUAUUGAAAUUAAGAAUCAGAUUAGACCAGUUAGAAAGAGGGACAUAUUGUGAUAUAAAGAUAAAUUCAAAUGAAAAAGUGUAAAGCAUAAAAAUUGUGGGAAAUUCCAAGACCUUUCCAGAAUGGUAAGGCUCAUUAAAAAUGAGAAAGUAAUGAAUUCAGAAACUUUAAAACAAGCAGCUGCAUAAGCAAUCUCAGCCGUGUUUUCACAAGUAACUUGACAAUUGAGACUCUAAAAUCAUAGAAUUGGUGUUUGGAAAGUAAACAACAAUUGUAGAGCUCGAAAAUAGCUUUUCAAAUCACUAAACCUCAUGAGCAUAUCAUAAAAAUUGAAUUUACUAUGAUUUUUCAAAUAACAGGGCAGUGCUUUUGAAAAUCAGUACGUGCUUGAUAAAACUCACAUAAAACUUGAAUUUCAAAUUCAAAUUAAACAAAACACAGUGAAUAAACAUUGUGGAAAAUUUCAAGACCGUUCUAACAGAAGUGGAAUCACUAGUUUUAGAUAAUCGAAGAAUUAUCUAUGAUUUUUACAAAAUCACAGACCUGCAUGACAAAACUGGAUUUCAAACCCAUUACACACAACAUACAAAAAUGAGCAAAUCUCUUAGCUCACUAAUCGAAAGUCUAUGAUUCCUUUUCGUACUUAAACUAGACACUAAGUUAAAUCUUUUCAUAGCAAAAAUCAUUACUUAAUAUGCCUUUGAAUUAUUCUAAACCGUGCUCAAAACAAAGGCAACAUAGCAGAAAUUAAUCAACCAAAAUCAAGCAAGACCCGACAUACGCAAGACUCGAAACUAACAAAAUCAGCUAAAACAAUCACAGCCAACAGUGGUAUAAACACAUAUAUACACACAAAAAGUACACAUACUCAGCCACCACAAAAUAGCUCCACCACUACUAGCCUCCAUCAUCUCUCUCCCGGCCAUAUUUCUCUCUCUAUCCCUCUCUCUCUUCUCGUAGUUGCUGCUGCGGUUUCCUUCGGCCAAACACGGUGCUACCACAUCGCAGGCCACCACCGAGCCGCCCAAACACAGCCCCCUUCCUUAUCCCUCCGUUCCAGUACGCGGCGUCACCGCUGCCUUAAGGCCACCCGCUGCAACAAUUCCGACCCACCGCCACCAAGAACCACAGCAACCCCAAGCAUAUACACACAUAGGUCUUAUACAUAUAUUCAAUCAAAAACACAUAAAUCUCACCUUCAGAUAUGAUUUGUGCGGUAAUUGAAUUGAUCCCCCAAGAUGAACCCUAAUCCCCCAAAACAAAAGAAGACCCGAUGCUGCGUGUCUGCUUGUUUUUUUUUUUAAAAAAAUUUUUAAAAAUCUAUUUAUAUUAACUAGAAAUCACACCCCCAUUUUAAAUAAAAAGCUUUUUGACAAUUUGGGGGUCCAAAUAUAUUCCCCAAAUUUAAAAGUAAAAUUGUACAAAAAUUCUAAAUACCCCGAAUACACAAUAGUUGCAAAUAUAAUAUUUUUUUUUUACAACCUUUCCCUACUUUUACAAAUAAUGCUCAAAAUCAUUGUUAAUUAACAAAUAAUUAAAACAAACAUUGUCAACUUUCAAAUAUUUCUGAAUCCGACACAAAUAUAGAAAUACUAGUGUUUGAAUAUUUUAGUAAUUUAAAUCGGAUAAAAUCAUUAGGCUCAAAUAAAACAAACUUUGAUUUCGACAUCAAAAGAUAAAUUUGAUUUAUUAAAAAGGUUAUAAUAAAUCAAAAUUCUAAACAAACUGCUCACACAAAUAAAAUAACCAAAUAAGAAACACAUUUAACAUGACCACAGUUAAAUCACAUAACUGCAAUAGCUUUUCAAACUACACCUGAAAAUAUUAUCCACAUAAUAUUUUAAAUAAUAAAAUUCUCGAUAUUUCACUGGACUGAGAAUAAAAUAUAAACUUUUUAUUCCUCUACUUCGAGAAAAUCAUAAAUAAACUAUUUUGAAAAAAACCAGAUUAUCACAAUCUACCCCCCUUAAAGGGAUUCCGUCCUCGGAAUCAACGAAGAGAAGACUAAAACGUAAUGUUCUUUUACUCUUUAAUACCGUUACCUUCUGAUAUAAAAAUCUAUCGAUCAUGUUCAUAUACCAGCCUCGUCAUCCGCUUUGGUUUAUAGCAUUUUGAAAUACAAAGUCGUCAUUCAUAUUGGCUCCUCUUCCAAAUUAUUAUGAAUGACAAGAAUUUAGGAAUAUUAAGAUUGGGCGUUGGGAGAUCAGUAGGAUCCAAAGAACUUAAUGUUGCGUAUCUAAAUGAAGAUAAUACUAAAGAUAAUUAGCCUUCUUGUAAUGCACAACACACAAGUCAUGGCGUCCCAUCCAACUCCUAUCACCCAAACAGGGAGUCCUUGUGUCCCCUAUAAUUAGGGUUGUUCAUCUCAGUUAGAGUAGAAAAAUAUAAAAGGGUUCAUAAUUAACUUAACAGUGGUUGCCAUUUAAGGAAUAAAUGCCUGAUGCGCACCUUGGGUUCAAAAAAAGGAAUAGAUUCCAAGGGUGCUGAAUUCGACAAAAAGAAUGAUCAGAAAUGAUACCACAAGCACUGGCAUCAUUCUAUAAUUUCACGAGUGAAAAAUAUACUCUUAAAGAGAAAUAUACUCUUUAAUGAACGUCUCGAUAAAAUAUAUGUUACAAUCACUGAUAAAGAAAUAAUCAAUAUAAUCAAUCAAUUGUGGAAGAUAUUGCCAAGAUUCCCACAAGUAUCUUAUUACUUGAUUCCUCUGAUGGCUCAUUUCAAUUUUAAGAAUUCUUCCCAACAUUCUUGGUGAUCGCUUGCAUAUAUUAUCGUUGACUUAUAAUAGUCUCUGUAGAUUCCGUCAUUGAUAUCCAUGUUAGUAGGUCCUAUCGAGCUUGGUAUUGUCAGAAGUCAUGUCCAGCUUUAUACAAUCGGCCUUGUAGAGCGUUGACGCUCAAACCUACUUAUAGGUACUAUAUCAAAUAAUCUAACAUGGAUUCUACAUAGAUUCUCAAAUUGAGAACUACACUCCUGACUUCUCGUCACCAAAUCUCAUACUCAUCUACCCAAAUCCAUAUAUGUCUCUAUAAGCAACAAUAGAUAACUCUCUAUCCAAUACUCUAGAAAUGGUAGAGAUGAUAAGGAGCAUUCUAGGUUAAACAGGUCAAUCCACGAGUCUAGCUGGCACUGAUUACUCCGAAAGUCAACCUCAAGCUCUGGAAGAUCAGAAACUAAAGGUACGCUACCAUGUCUCUCCUGAGAUCCAACUCAUUAGUUCUAGAAUUAGGAACUAUGAUAUACCGAUGAUUACUCAGAAUCAAUAGUUUAACUCCAUCUCAGUUCUAUAGACAAAGACUAUAUCCAAUAGUCUCAACAAACCUCUAUAUGAGGUUCCACUAAACAAAACUCUAUAAUAUCUACAUUCUGAUUUCAAUAACUUAUAACCUACAGCUCUGAUACCAACUGUGACAUCCUUCAAAUCCGGGGGUCUGGAUUUGGUGUCACUAUCAUAAAAAUCUUUUAAAAACCUAUAUUUGCGAAAAAGGUAAAACAGAUAUCUUAAAAUCUGUACAUUUUAAAAGAGAUUUAAAUCAAAAUCACUUUGACCCCCUAAAAACAGGAUCGCUAAUAGGUUACAGCACUGAAAUCAGAAACCAAAACUAUAAAAUUUUAUUACAACUCAAACUACGUUAUCAGCUAAACUUCGGUAAGAAGGAUAACUGAUAACCAAUAAAUAAAAACUAUCUACAACUGAAUUGAAAUAAUUCAACUCUGGCCAUAACCAGUCUCGCAGCCACCUCCCUGGCAGUCUCGCCUAGCAUUACUCUUACGCGCAGCUUAUCCAAGUGACCAUCCUAAUCCUUAGCUGAAAGGGUUAGAAAUAAUAGCAAGAGUGAGCAAUAAUGCUCAGCAAGUAUAACAUUAUAUUUUUAACAGUGCAAUAUUAUAUGAAUUAAACCAAAUAUUUGUAACAGAGAUUCAGUUCUAGGUUCCCCUCAAAAUAAUCGAAGUUCAAUUACAUACUGCCACCCAUUUUAUAAAAAUUUCGAUUCCAAUGGGUCCAAACUAUUCUUUUAUCAGAAUAUAGUCCAUUUAUAAGAAUAUUUAAUUAUUAACUUCCUUUCAACUCAUUUGACAAUACAGGUGAUCAGCCACAUAAAGUCCUCCGUCCCGAGCACUGAACAUAAGUCCCAUCGGCAACGGAUCGUCCCAAGCACCGGAUAUAAGUCCCAUUGGUGACGAAUAUUGUGGUACCCAUUAGGCAUCUAAUUGGCCUUCGACUGGGCUAGGUUCGCUAGCCUCUUACGCCACACUAUUAUGGAACUUUCAACUCCAUCUCCUUAAAUUGUCCAUUUAUUUAGACGCUAUUUUCAUAAUAAUGUUUAUUUAGAAAGGAAAUGAACUUCCACAGUUCCCAAGACAAUAUAUUCAUGUCCCGGGCCACGGACGUAAAGUCCUCCCGG
rnacentral:lncRNA from 1 species